GACGAACGCUGGCGGCGUGCUUAACACAUGCAAGUCGAACGGAAAGGCCUUGCUUUUGUGGGGUGCUCGAGUGGCGAACGGGUGAGUAACACGUGAGUAACCUGCCCUUGACUUUGGGAUAACUUCAGGAAACUGGGGCUAAUACCGGAUAGGAGCUCCUGCUGCAUGGUGGGGGUUGGAAAGUUUCGGCGGUUGGGGAUGGACUCGCGGCUUAUCAGCUUGUUGGUGGGGUAGUGGCUUACCAAGGCUUUGACGGGUAGCCGGCCUGAGAGGGUGACCGGCCACAUUGGGACUGAGAUACGGCCCAGACUCCUACGGGAGGCAGCAGUGGGGAAUAUUGCACAAUGGGCGGAAGCCUGAUGCAGCAACGCCGCGUGCGGGAUGACGGCCUUCGGGUUGUAAACCGCUUUCGCCGGUGACGAAGCGUGAGUGACGGUAAUGGGUAAAGAAGCACCGGCUAACUACGUG
rnacentral:rRNA from 1 species